rnacentral:tRNA from 1 species
UGGGGAAUAGUUUAGUGGUAGAACUCGCGGCUCUGGACCGUGCAACUCUGGUUCGAAUCCAGGUUCCCCAGCCA